AAGAAAGAACCAAAUAAGAAAUUCUCUCUUAAAAAAGACGCCGCCGCCGCCACCGCCACUCCGUCGGCCGUCCCCAGCGCCGUCGCCAACCUUUCCUGCUCGAGACGACCGUUGCGACCCCCGCGGAAGCUCGGGGCGGCGCCGCCCGUUGCCGCCGAUUUCGGGCGUUACCCCGCCCCUCCGCCGGCCAGAGUGCUUGCCGCCUCACUGCCAUUGCCCCCCAAGGUCGAUUAGCGCCAGCCCGGAGAUGCUCUUGCGCGGCAGGCGGCAGCUACCAGGAGGAGACUGCGGCGACCGGUGCAAGCUCCACACCGGCAGCGCGACACCAUCUCCGGAUGGCGACCUUCUUUAGCGCUAGCUUGGUGGCAACCGCUACGGAUCACAUCUCUGGAUUACUAUAAGCAGAGUUUGAUCAUGCAGGAGGUCAAACUGCUUGUACCCAAGGGAGAAUGUGACGCCCUCGACGCCAUCAUCUAAGAAGCUCAUCAACAACGGCAUCGUUUAGAUAAGACAACCUAUUUUAGCUAUACUGAAUUUAAGUUGGUUCUUGCUGUCCUAAAGAUUGCAUAUUUUAUAUGUACUGAAUUUUAGCAUGUACAGUGAUGUUGCUUCCUUUUUGUAAAAAAAGAAAACCAUGAUGUUGCUUGCUAUUUGUUUCUAGUCGGGCAAUGCCUUGUUUGAUUCAUCCUGUGUUGCUUGAUUCCCUGUGAAGUAACCGAACAAGUCAAAUUAAGAUGCAGGGAUCGGUGGGGAUUUGUGGGAAAGGGAUUGGUAGGGGUUGGGUGACAUCAGGGGAUCAUCUGGUUCUCAGUAUUUAGCAAAAUGACAUGAUUACGCUAUCGUAAAUUGCACUGCUAAUGUAAAGAAAAUGACAAGAGAACAAAGUAGAGAGAAAAUGACAACAAGAUGCUGCUGUUCGGUGGUGUCAUGACUCAUGAGUGGUGUAUGCACAUCUGAAGCUAACCUUAUCUUUUGAUUCCCUUUGUCUCAUUGCCUGUGGUGGUAUGCAACGCAAUGCAUGAUCAAGAUUCCUUUUAUUUUCCUAGCUUAUACUUUUGAAGACUUUGGUGACAUGCUGACAAAAAAAGAAGGAAACAGGGCUUGGUGCCAUCUGACCAAAUGAUUGCUGCCAGGUUGUUAUCUCAAAGGCGAUCUGGUAACAUGGGAUGAGAGGUAUCUUUCCAAGGAACUGAUGGCAUUCUAGAGCUCACCGGCUGGGAGUCUUGCUUGGACCUGCCAUUGCUACUCCACUGCAAAAGCAGCAGAACCACUAGAUUCAGGUUAGCCCAGUAUACACUGUCUCCCUAUUGUCAGACAUGCAAGCCUCACGGUCUGCUUUGAAGAAAGAAAAUCCGUUGGGAAUGGAUGUAAUGUCAUCUGAAGAAUAUGCUUCGCAGUCUAAGUUACUGCUAGAAUUCACCAAUGUCCCAAGCAUUGAAAGUGCUUGGCUUUUCAAAACCAACAAUGAAGACAGAUCCACAGCGAUGUUUUCCAUUAGUCAGCCGGACCUGCUAGCGAACAACAAGAGGAAAUAUAUUUUGCAUUCUCAUAUUGUGACACGUGGAACCAUGCCUCUCGAGUGUCAUUGGUCUCCUUUCCCUAUUGAAAUGACCGGAGUGUCGGCUGUCGUUCCAUCCCGUUCGGGGUCAAAGCUUCUCGUGGUGCGGAACGGGGAGAAAGGCUCACGUACGACACUUCAGAUUGUUAACCAAUCACAUGUGGAGAAAGAGAUACAUGUUGGUCAGGCUAUCCAUGGUCCACUUUAUACCGAUGAGUGGUUUCAAGGGAUUUCCUGGAACCAUGAAGAGACCUCCAUAGCGUACAUCGCCGAACAGCCACCUCAACCAAAACCGGCUUUCGAUGAUGCCGGAUACAGAAAAGAAGGCUCUUCUGAGGAAGACUGUAAUAGUUGGAGAGGACAAGGGGAUUGGGAAGAGGACUGGGGUGAAACUUACUCCAGAAAGGGGAGACCCUCGUUGUUUGUUCUUGAUAUUGAUAGUGGAGAAGUACGUGCCGCUAGAGGAGUUACAAAACCAAUGAGUGCUGGUCAAGUUGUUUGGGCUCCGCCGUCUUCAAGUGGCCAUCGAAAGCUUUUGGUGUUCGUGGGAUGGUUAGAACACAACGGAUUUCAGGGCACCGCUAGAAAACUCGGCAUCAAGUACUGUUCUAACAGGCCAUGUUCUCUGUAUGCAAUUCAUUCCCCUUUUGAAGAAGAACCAGAUGCCGAUAACGCGUCUGUUGGUGGUAGUGAGUCAGUAUCUGCUUCAGUAGCAACCAACUUAACCCCAAGCAUAAGCAGCGCUUUAUUUCCACGGUUCAGCAAGGAUGGAAAACUCCUGGUGUUUCUGUCUUCAAAACGUGCAGUUGAUAGUGGAGCACAUAAUGCCACAGAUUCGCUGCAUCGAAUCGACUGGCCUUCUGAUUGGAAAGCAGAGCAACAACUCAGCGUGACCGAUGUGGUUCCUGUUGUAAUGUGCCCUCAAGAUGGAUGUUUUCCUGGUCUAUACUGCUCAUCCAUGCUGUCUGAUCCUUGGUUUUCUGAUCAUCGCACGAUGGUAUUAACAUCUGCUUGGAGAAGUACUGAAGUGAUACUGUCAAUAGAUGUGUUAAGUGGGGAAGUAACCAGAAUAAGUCCAGAAGACUCAGGUUACUCAUGGAGCGCCCUUGCAAUAAAUGGCAACAAUGUCCUCUCUGUGUCGAGCAGUCCCAUCGACCCUCCUCAAAUCAGGUAUGGCCGUCGAGCGUCAACAGAGGAUCAUGGUACACGCGCAUGGGUCUGGGACGAAGUUACGAGCCCGUUGACAGCAGCCAGUAACAAGAUAAAGGCUUUGUUAUCUCAUCACAAGUUGAGCAUACUCAGAGUCCCGGUCCCUAACCCCUCUGAUGAACUCUCUGACGGUGGUCGGCUUCCAUUUGAGGCCAUCUUUGUGUCCUGCGAGGAUAGUUCACAGAAACCAACUGUUUUAAUCCUUCAUGGUGGCCCACACUCAACAUCUGUAUCAAGCUAUUCGAAAUCGUCGGCGUUUCUUGUGUCACUUGGGUUUAACCUGCUUAUUGCAAAUUAUAGAGGUACCCUGGGUUACGGAGAGGAGGCUUUGCAAUCACUCCCUGGGAAGGUUGGAUCUCAGGAUGUCCAAGAUUGUCUUGCAGCACUAGACCACGUGAUCAAGGAAGGGCUGGUGGAUGCAUCCAAAGUAGCAGUUGUCGGGAUCUCGCACGGCGGCUUCUUGACAACCCAUUUAAUCGGCCAGGCUCCUGAGAGAUUUGCUGUGGCGGCGGCUCGAAACCCGGUCUGUAACCUGUCACUGAUGAUUGGCACCACAGACAUCCCAGAUUGGUGCUACGCCGUGGCCUGCGGGACUCAAGCGAGGCGUCUCGCCUCUGAAUCACCUUCACCUGACCACCUUCAAAUCUUCCACCAGAAAUCACCGAUUGCCCAUAUUUCAAAAGUGAAAGCGCCUUUGCUUAUGCUUCUUGGAGGAGCAGAUCUCCGGGUACCCGCUUCCAAUGGCCUACAGUAUGCAAGGGCUCUGAGAGAGAGAGGAGGCGAGGUCAAAACCAUCAUGUUCCCAGAGGAUACGCACGAAAUCGAUAUACCGCGGUCGGAUUUUGAGAGCUUCCUCAACAUGGGAGUCUGGUUCAAGAAAUAUCUGAAACUGAUCUGAGCCAGAGAUUUCGAGGGCUUCCUCAACAUAGCCAGAUAACUUCAAAGGUUUUUUGAAGAAAUAUUUUUCCUUUGUGAGGCGAUCAAAGCAUUUGAGAAUCGACAAUAGUAACAAAUAUUUCUCCUAAAUAAUGAGCCUAAAGAGAGUGAUAAUCUGGACUUGUUUCCAAGUACAGUAUGCAUUAAUAGUAACACAUCGCUGACCAGCAAGUCAGUGACUAUCACACUUCUCAACAAGUGACCGUACGCAACGCGCCCAACAUCAGUCU
rnacentral:rRNA from 1 species